rnacentral:rRNA from 1 species
AGCAGCCGCGGUAAUUCCAGCUCCAAUAGCGUAUAUUAAAGUUGCUGCAGUUAAAAAGCUCGUAGUUGAAUUUCGGGACCAAUAUGUCGGUCGUGCCUCGGUACGUACUGGCAUCGUUGGUUUCUCCUUUCUGAAGAACCAUGAUGUCAUUUAUUUGGUGUCGUGGGGAAUCAGGACUGUUACUUUGAAAAAUUAGAGUGUUUAAAGCAGGCUCACGCUUGAAUACAUUAGCAUGGAAUAAUGAAAUAGGACGUUUGAUUCUAUUUUGUUGGUUUCUAGGAUCGACGUAAUGAUUAAUAGGGAUAGUUGGGGGCAUUAGUAUUCAAUUGUCAGAGGUGAAAUUCUUGGAUUUAUUGAAGACUAACUACUGCGAAAGCAUUUGCCAAGGAUGUUUUCAUUAAUCAAGAACGAAAGUUAGGGGAUCGAAGACGAUCAGAUACCGUCGUAGUC